ACUUUCUGUAGAGCAACUCCGCGAACUUCCGGUUUAAGCCGGAAGUUGUGGUUACCAAGGCGACGCAACGCCGCCGGGACAGCUUUUCAGAGUUUCACAGAGGUUCCCAGUGCCACCUUCUGUGAUGUCAUUCCCCAGAGGAAGUCAGACCCAGAAGAUAAAGCACCCCAUUGGUACACGAAAGGGACCAUUGGAGGUGCCACCCCCAACAGAGAAGGACUGGCCUAAAGACGAUGAAGAGGAUCAUGUCCUCGUGGAUCCAGGUGACGAGGUGGAUUCCUUGCCUCAGCCUUAUCGAAUGAUCAACAAGCUGGUGAACCUUCUGUUUGACCAGUCUUGGGAAAUUAUUGAAGAGAGGAAAGCACUGAGGGAAGCUGAGAGCAGCCAGAUCCAGCCCACCAUCUACCCUCCACUUGGAGAAAUCCAGCUCAACAAAAUGCCAAAUUGUAUGGCUGUUUCCCAAGACUAUGUGUUUAUUGGAGGAGCCAAAGGAUUCUCAAUUUAUAAUCUGUACAGUGCUAAACAAAUAUAUGCGUGGGAAAAGCUUAAGGUUGAUGUCACUUCCAUCUGGGCCACAGAUUUGGGGAAUGAAAUACUUAUUGCUCCUGUGGAUGAAAUGGGUAUUGUUCUUCAUCUUCCUUUUUAGCCUCAUUUACAGGUACCUGUAGACUGUUGUCAAUUUAAUCUCCUUUCGAGGUAUUGGUGGGGCCAGGCAUGGAGACUUCUCCCUGGUCAUGUAAUAGUACCUAUAUGUACAGAACAGGUAUGGUGGGUCAGAUACUGUUCUACCAUUUCACAUGUGCUAGCCCAUUUAAUCCUCAUGGCAGCCUUAGGGGGGAAGUAAAAUUUUGUAUUCCUGUUCAGAAGAGGCAACUGACUUAUGGAAGUUAAAUAACUUACUUGAGGUAACAUGGAAAGUCAGGCUGCAAACCAGGCAAUAUGGCCCUGGAGUCCACACCCUUCCAGCACUCAGCAGUCCUCUCAUACAAACCAGAGCUUGCCCUUUUUCCCCCAGCCUGAGGAUGAACCAGGCCUCCAUGAGGAAUAUGGUCUCAAAAACUGUAGACAGUGUCCUAGAUAGGUGAGCUGUUACUCUUGGUUGCCCCUCAAAAGCUAGGCUCCCUCUAGCCUGUCCUUAUGUUUGGGUGAAACAGACUGUUACCUCUGGAUAUGAGGAGCUUUCCUACUUUGUGGAGGAUGAGAAGGCAAAUGUCAGCAUUGGCUGGAAGUGAGUGAGGUGGCUGUGUCAUAUUGUGGCAGGCAGAGCGGAAAGUGCCUGCUCACUUGGAGAUCAUCUGUGAAGGCAUGCAUCUCUCUAGACAUCAGGCUCUGCUCAACCAGCACAGGCACACUGAAGAACUUUCUGCAGGAGAGUGACCUGACCAGACUGGCAUUUAAGAAGGGCACUCUAGCAGGAGUUUGAAAAAGGCAAAAUGAGAGGCAGAAAAACUAUGCAGUCAUUAAGGAGAGAAAAUUCUGAACAUCUGAACCAAGAUAGGGGCUGCUAAAAUGAAAAGAAAGGCCAGACGUGGUGGCUCAUGCCUGUAAUCCCAGCACUUUGGGAAGCCUAGGCAGGUGGAUCACUUGAGGUCAGGAGUUUGACACCAGCCUGGCCAACAUGGUGAAACCCCGUCUCUACUAAAAAUACAAAAACAAAAAACAAAAACUAGCCGGGCAUGGUGGUGGGCACCUGUAAUCCCAGCUACUUGGGAGGCUGAGGAAGGAGAAUUGCUUGAACCCAGGAGGCGGAGAUUACAGUGAGCUGAGAUGGCAUCAUUGCACUCCAGCCUGGGUGACAGAAUGAGACUCCAUCUCAAAAAAAAAAAAAAAAAAAGUGUACUAUGGUUAUGUAAGAUGUUAACGUUAGGGGAAGCAAGACAAGGGAUACAAAGAAACUCUGUACUAUUUUUGUAACUUUUUUAUAAGUCUAAAAUUAGUUCAAAAUAAAAAGCUUAAAAAAAUGAAAGGAAUGUUUAAUGGAAAAACUUAGGGAAUGAUGGAAUAUGCAUAUGGGUCAAGUAGUGGGAAAGUGUGCUGGGGGGCAAUGAACGAGAAUGCCUCCCCCUUUGUGCCUUAGAUAACUAGGUGGAUGAUGAUGUCAUUUCUUGAUAACAGUUAUGGGAAAAUAAGAUUUCAGGGUUCUGUGAGUUGAAGAAUUCCAUUUGAACAUGCGCAGACUUGAGGCAUCUAGGGGAUAUCUCUGUGGGAAUGUUGAUGCUCAGAAGGAGUUUGGUGUAAAGAUAGGAUCAUAUGUGUCACGCUACAUUAUACUAGUUGGUUUCAAGUCUGUGUAACCCUCAGUAUGAUGAAUCUGAAGGUAGACUGUCUUGGUGUCCCUAGCACAUUUGUUGGCAUGAAUCAGAUAUCCCAUGAAUCUGUAUUGGGUUGAGUUAGACAUUUACCCACAGUGGGGCAGAUGCCUUUACAAGGUUAUAUUAUGGUAUAGAGAGGCAAGUCAUAAGUCUGUGGGAGGCACCUCAAGAAAGAGGUAAGAAGUCAUGGUGGGUGAUGGUUGUAUACUGGAGCCAUUAGGUUAAAUGAGAAUUAGAUUAACGUAUUUACUUAUUAAUUCAACAAAAUUAACUGCACGAGGAGCUUGUUGGGAUUGAGAGGCAAGACACAUGGAAGAGUGAGCUAUGAUCUUUCCCUCAAAGAAUCUAUGAAUUCUCAAGAGGAAUACAAUACAUUUGCAGCAAACAGUUGGAUAAUGGUGUGAAGCAGUAAGGGAUGGUGUGCUCAAUCAGGCAGAUAGGAAUCAACCAGCGGAUGGAUGUAGCCCAUGUCUUACGAAGACGUCUGGGAGAUGCCGGUGGAGCCAGGGUACGUAGAGAGGACCCAGGAAGGAAAACAACCUGAACAUUCAAGUGAGGGGUGGAGGAAGUCAGGGAGACCAAGAGCAGCAUAGGCAGUGGAGGGGCUGGGAAGGAGGCCUCAGAAUGAGCGAGCUCAUGAUGGUAAGUUCACAAAGUCCAAUAUAAAACUUCUAAUUUCUCUUCAGCUCGAUUGUCUGUCUUACAUUCUCACUUAUUUUUCUGUUUCAGGUAUCAUUAGACUCUUUUAUUUUUAUAAGGAAGGUCUUUACCUAGUCAAAGCCAUCAAUGAAGUGGGCCCCUUCUCACCAAAGACAGCUUAGAGAGGUCAGCAAUGAAGAGGAGAAGGAAAAUCAAGAUGAGACACAAGGUCAGCAGCUGCAACUUCAGUUACAGAUGUAGAUGUUCUGAAAAUCCUAAACCCCAGUGUGGCAGAGACAAAAGCAAAGGAUCCACCAGCUAAGAAUGCCUUGGAUCCUGAGGCUGGGCAGGGUGGGGGUGAUUUACUUAUUGCUUUAUUUAUUUUUUGCAUGUUAACCAGAUAACUAGAACUAAUUGCAUUAUCAGUGCAGCAUCUGGUUUUUAAAAAGCCAAACUGCAAACUGCUAAUAAAGGCCUUAAAUAAUAAUAAUAAAUAUACUAAGAAAAUGUAAAAACAAGCCACAGACUGGGAGAAAAUACCUGUUUAUAUAUAUAUAUAUAUUUUACAUAUACUUAUAUAUCCUUUUAAGUAUUUGUAUCCAGAAUAUAUAAAGAACUCCAAAUCAAUAAUAAAAAGACAACCCAAUAAAAAAUAGGCAAAAGAUUUAAACUGACAUUUACAAAAGGAGACAGUGUUUUGCCAUGUUGCCCAGACUGGUCUUGAACUCCUGGACCCAAGCAGUCCUCCCACCUUGGCCUCCCAAAGUGCUGAGAUUACAGGUGAGGUAGUUUCUUACAAAGUUAAACCUAUGAUACAUCAAGCCCAUUUUUAGGUAUUUACCCAAAAGAAAUGAAAACAUUUGUUCACAAAAAGAUUUGUACAAGAUGUUCAUAGCAGCUGUAUUUGUAAUAAUAAAAAAAAAAAAACAUAAUCAAGGCUGGGUACAGUGGCUCAUGCCUGUAAUCCCAGUACUUUGGAAGGCUGAGGCGGGCAGAUCACAAGGUCAGUAGAACAAGACCAUCCUAGCUAACACGGUGAAACCCCGUCUCUACUAAAAAUACAAAAAAUUAGCCAGGUGUGGUGACAGGCGCCUGUAGU